rnacentral:lncRNA from 1 species
GACAGCGGGCACCCCGAGACGCUGCUGAACCUGGUGGUGCUGUCCCAGCACCUGGGCAAGGCCCCAGAGGUCACCAAUCGUUACCUGUCCCAGCUGAAAGAUGCUCACAAAAACCAUCCCUUCAUCAAGGAGUACCAGGCCAAGGAGAACGACUUUGACCGCCUGGCCCUGCAAUAUGCACCCAGUGCCUGAGCCCUGGGCAGGGAAAAUCCCUCUGGAACAGGGAAAUUCCCACCUGGAACCCAAAAAAAUCCCUCUGGAACCAAAAAAAAUCCCCUCUGGAAUACAGAAAUUCCCUCUGGAACAAGGAAAAUCCAUCUGGAACCCAAAAAUUUCCCUCUGGAAUCCAGAAAUUCCCUCUGGGACAGAGAAAAUCUCACCUGGAACCCAAAAAAUCCCCUCUGGAACAGAGAAAAUUCCAACAUUUCCACGGAUCCAUCCCAAAUUCCGCAGCAUCUGCCAGCCCUGCUGGGAUUCCUUUUGGGAUAAACCCCAAAACAAUAAUGAAUAAAUAAAAAUAAAAAUAAAAAUAAAAUAAAAAAAUAAUCCUCC